UUGAAGUUAUAUAAUUUCAUUCAUAUCUAAUUUGCUUUUCAGCAUGAUGACAUGUUCUAUAAUUUAUUUCAGUGCUGUGUAUAUUCAGUUUGUGAUAAAGAAAUGAACGAUGGAAUCGUCAAAAUUGACAUAGUAGCAAAUGUUAUAAUUGAAUGGUCUCCCUUUAAUUGUUUAUCAUUUUAAUAUUUCAGCGUUUUACUGGUUUCGAAAGAUAUUUUAGGUUUGAAAGCAAUGUUUGCAUACCAGGGUAGUUUCAGUUCCAUGUCAGAUGUCAGAUGUCCAUGUGUGUUUUUUUCACGGGUGAAGACGAUUUUUAAAAGAUUCAUGGUGCCUUUGCCAAGUGUUCAGCAUGGUCAUCGCAGAAUGUUUCAUGUAAAUGUCAGAAGUCCAUGUGUGUGUUUUCAUGGAUGAAUACAAUUCUUAAAAGAUGUUUUGUGUCUUGGCCGCGUGUUCAGCAUUAUCAUGACAGAAUGUACUGUUGGCACAAGACACUGUAACAUGAUGCAUGAAAUUACAUGAGAGGCCUGGAUUUAGGAUGAGUAUGAAAACAACACAUUUGUUGCUAUGGUAUUUGUUUACUUUAAAAUUAUAAUGGAUUAAAUUAAUGUUUAUUGAAGCUGUAUAAUUUAUACUCUUUCAAUAGCAUUAUCUUCAGUUGUGAAUUACUGAAAUAACUGACAAAGAAAAACAAAUUUAUUAUUUAACAUGCUUCUAUAAAAUUUAAGCAGAAUGAAAAGCUUCCAAAGCUGUCCAGAAAUAAAAUUGCAGCAAGUUUGAUAAAUUGACGGAUGAUUAUCAAAGGUUCCAAUAUUGUUCGGUAAUAUAUUAACAGAAGUUUAUACAAAUGAAUCGAUAUUUUAGUCAAUAUUAUGACCAAGGGUGCUGUAACAUGACAUUAUUAAUAUUUCAAACAGAUGAUCACAUGUGACCCAAGUGAUGCAUGCAGUUUUUGUGUUUGCUUAGAGUCAGAAUUUUCUCAUUAAGUAUAACAUGAGGAGGAAGUGUGUUGGGUGAAUGUAUAGUUAUUUUUCAAUAUAUCUUUUAUUUAGGUCUCAGGACAUACUUGACUGGUUAUGGUUAUAUGCAGAUUUUUUGACAGGAUUGUAUGACAGUACCAGAGUGUUUACUGAUAUAAAAUAAUAGAGGUGUGGCACUGAAGUAUAUUAUACUUCUUUUUCUUUGAA